CUUUGACAAAGUGUGGUGUGAAAGCAAACCCAACCAAAUGAAAAAUGCAACAAUGUUGCAGCUUCACCCCCGAAUCGCACCGAGUCCACCGAACUAUAGGUGUGAAAGCGCCCUGACUUUAGUGCACUUGGAAGAUAACCAAGACCCCUGUUUUCAAGCGGACCAGAGUUUGGUUGUUUGAUCUGCACCAGAGUUCAAAUGAGCUUUCACACUGCCCCAAACCAACCGGACUAUCAGACCAAACGCUCCAGGCUAUCAGACCAAACA